rnacentral:rRNA from 1 species
GCAAGUCGAGCGCGCCCUUCGGGGUGAGCGGCGGACGGGUGAGUAACGCGUGGGAAUAUGCCCUUCUCUAAGGAAUAGCCUCUGGAAACGGAGAGUAAUACCUUAUACGCCCUUUGGGGGAAAGAUUUAUCGGAGAAGGAUUAGCCCGCGUUAGAUUAGGUAGUUGGUGGGGUAAUGGCCUACCAAGCCUACGAUGUCUAGGGGUUCUGAGAGGAUGAUC